rnacentral:rRNA from 2 species
UCAAGUGAAUAAGUGCAUCAGGCGGAUGCCUUGGCGAUGAUAGGCGACGAAGGACGUGUAAGCCUGCGAAAAGCGCGGGGGAGCUGGCAAUAAAGCUAUGAUUCCGCGAUGUCCGAAUGGGGAAACCCACUGCAUUCUGUGCAGUAUCCUAAGUUGAAUACAUAGGCUUAGAGAAGCGAACCCGGAGAACUGAACCAUCUAAGUACCCGGAGGAAAAGAAAUCAACCGAGAUUCCGCAAGUAGUGGCGAGCGAACGCGGAGGAGCCUGUACGUAAUAACUGUCGAGAUAGAAGAACAAGCUGGGAAGCUUGACCAUAGCGGGUGACAGUCCCGUAUUCGAAAUCUCAACAGCGGUACUAAGCGUACGAAAAGUAGGGCGGGACACGUGAAAUCCUGUCUGAAUAUGGGGGGACCAUCCUCCAAGGCUAAAUACUCAUCAUCGACCGAUAGUGAACCAGUACCGUGAGGGAAAGGCGAAAAGAACCCCGGGAGGGGAGUGAAACAGAACCUGAAACCUGAUGCAUACAAACAGUGGGAGCGCCCUAGUGGUGUGACUGCGUACCUUUUGUAUAAUGGGUCAACGACUUACAUUCAGUAGCGAGCUUAACCGGAUAGGGGAGGCGUAGGGAAACCGAGUCUUAAUAGGGCGAUGAGUUGCUGGGUGUAGACCCGAAACCGAGUGAUCUAUCCAUGGUCAGGUUGAAGGUGCCGUAACAGGUACUGGAGGACCGAACCCACGCAUGUUGCAAAAUGCGGGGAUGAGCUGUGGGUAGGGGUGAAAGGCUAAACAAACUCGGAGAUAGCUGGUUCUCCCCGAAAACUAUUUAGGUAGUGCCUCGAGCAAGACACUGAUGGGGGUAAAGCACUGUUAUGGCUAGGGGGUUAUUGCAACUUACCAACCCAUGGCAAACUCAGAAUACCAUCAAGUGGUUCCUCGGGAGACAGACAGCGGGUGCUAACGUCCGUUGUCAAGAGGGAAACAACCCAGACCGCCGGCUAAGGUCCCAAAUGAUAGAUUAAGUGGUAAACGAAGUGGGAAGGCACAGACAGCCAGGAUGUUGGCUUAGAAGCAGCCAUCAUUUAAAGAAAGCGUAAUAGCUCACUGGUCGAGUCGUCCUGCGCGGAAGAUGUAACGGGGCUCAAAUCUAUAACCGAAGCUGCGGAUGCCGGUUUACCGGCAUGGUAGGGGAGCGUUCUGUAGGCUGAUGAAGGUGCAUUGUAAAGUGUGCUGGAGGUAUCAGAAGUGCGAAUGUUGACAUGAGUAGCGAUAAAGCGGGUGAAAAGCCCGCUCGCCGAAAGCCCAAGGUUUCCUACGCAACGUUCAUCGGCGUAGGGUAAGUCGGCCCCUAAGGCGAGGCAGAAAUGCGUAGUCGAUGGGAAACAGGUUAAUAUUCCUGUACUUGAUUCAAAUGCGAUGUGGGGACGGAGAAGGUUAGGUUGGCAAGCUGUUGGAAUAGCUUGUUUAAGCCGGUAGGUGGAAGACUUAGGCAAAUCCGGGUUUUCUUAACACCGAGAAGUGAUGACGAGUGUCUACGGACACGAAGCAACCGAUACCACGCUUCCAGGAAAAGCCACUAAGCUUCAGUUUGAAUCGAACCGUACCGCAAACCGACACAGGUGGGCAGGAUGAGAAUUCUAAGGCGCUUGAGAGAACUCGGGAGAAGGAACUCGGCAAAUUGAUACCGUAACUUCGGGAGAAGGUAUGCCCUCUAAGGUUAAGGACUUGCUCCGUAAGCCCCGGAGGGUCGCAGAGAAUAGGUGGCUGCGACUGUUUAUUAAAAACACAGCACUCUGCCAACACGAAAGUGGACGUAUAGGGUGUGACGCCUGCCCGGUGCCGGAAGGUUAAUUGAAGAUGUGCAAGCAUCGGAUCGAAGCCCCGGUAAACGGCGGCCGUAACUAUAACGGUCCUAAGGUAGCGAAAUUCCUUGUCGGGUAAGUUCCGACCCGCACGAAUGGCGUAACGAUGGCCACACUGUCUCCUCCCGAGACUCAGCGAAGUUGAAGUGGUUGUGAAGAUGCAAUCUACCCGCUGCUAGACGGAAAGACCCCGUGAACCUUUACUGUAGCUUUGCAUUGGACUUUGAAGUCACUUGUGUAGGAUAGGUGGGAGGCUUGGAAGCAGAGACGCCAGUCUCUGUGGAGUCGUCCUUGAAAUACCACCCUGGUGUCUUUGAGGUUCUAACCCAGACCCGUCAUCCGGGUCGGGGACCGUGCAUGGUAGGCAGUUUGACUGGGGCGGUCUCCUCCCAAAGCGUAACGGAGGAGUUCGAAGGUUACCUAGGUCCGGUCGGAAAUCGGACUGAUAGUGCAAUGGCAAAAGGUAGCUUAACUGCGAGACCGACAAGUCGGGCAGGUGCGAAAGCAGGACAUAGUGAUCCGGUGGUUCUGUAUGGAAGGGCCAUCGCUCAACGGAUAAAAGGUACUCCGGGGAUAACAGGCUGAUUCCGCCCAAGAGUUCAUAUCGACGGCGGAGUUUGGCACCUCGAUGUCGGCUCAUCACAUCCUGGGGCUGUAGUCGGUCCCAAGGGUAUGGCUGUUCGCCAUUUAAAGUGGUACGUGAGCUGGGUUUAAAACGUCGUGAGACAGUUUGGUCCCUAUCUGCAGUGGGCGUUGGAAGUUUGACGGGGGCUGCUCCUAGUACGAGAGGACCGGAGUGGACGAACCUCUGGUGUACCGGUUGUAACGCCAGUUGCAUAGCCGGGUAGCUAAGUUCGGAAGAGAUAAGCGCUGAAAGCAUCUAAGCGCGAAACUCGCCUGAAGAUGAGACUUCCCUUGCGGUUUAACCGCACUAAAGGGUCGUUCGAGACCAGGACGUUGAUAGGUGGGGUGUGGAAGCGCGGUAACGCGUGAAGCUAACCCAUACUAAUUGCCCGUGAGGCUUGACUCU